UACAGAGGGUGCAAGCGUUAAUCGGAAUUACUGGGCGUAAAGCGUGCGUAGACGGUUAUUUAAGUCGGGUGUGAAAGCCCCGGGCUCAACCUGGGAAUUGCAUUCGAGACUGAAUAGCUAGGGUGCGGAAGAGGGAAGCGGAAUUUCCGGUGUAGCGGUGAAAUGCGUAGAUAUCGGAAGGAACACCAGUGGCGAAGGCGACAUCCUGGACCAACACUGACGCUGAGUGAGCGAAAGCCAGGGGAGCAAACGGG
rnacentral:rRNA from 1 species